GAGUUCUUAACCAGUCGAGUGAAGGAUUCAAAAUUAACCACUCCAAGGGAGGAUUGAAAAAAGAACCACUCUCAGUGGACAAAAAGAAAGAAAGGGGAGAGGGUAACACAGGGAUAUAAGCCCUAGUCACCCGAGCCAGCAACGGCAACCCUUCUGGGUCCCCUUCCACCACGUGGAAGCUUUCCUUUCACUUUGUUCAGUAAACUGCGCUGCUGCUCACUCUCCUGGUCCGUGGACUCUUUUUAAGCUGUAACACUCACCGUGAAGGUCCGCAGCUUCAUUCAUCAAAGUUAGCGAGACCACAAACCCAUCGGCAGGAAAAACUCCUAACUCAGUUACAUUGGCAAAUUUGAAAUCAUUGAUGAUCACAGAGCUGGGAAAAUUGUUGUGAACCUCACAGGCGGGCUAAACAAGUGUGGAGUGAUCAGCCUCAGAUUUGAUGUGCAACUCAAAGAUCUAGAAAAAUGGCAGAAUAAUCUGCUUCCAUCCUGCCAGUUUGGUUUCAUUGCACUGACAACCUCGGCUGGCAUCAUGGACCAUAAGGAAGCAAGAUGAAAACACACAGCAGGGAAAAUCCUGGAAUUCUUUUUCUAGGGAUGUAAUACAUAUUUACAAAAAAAAAA
rnacentral:lncRNA from 1 species